AUUGAACGCUGGCGGCAUGCUUUACACAUGCAAGUCGAACGGUAACAGGCCUUCGGGUGCUGACGAGUGGCGAACGGGGGAGUAAUGCAUCGGAACGUGCCCAGAGGCGGGGGAUAACGCAGCGAAAGCUGUGCUAAUACCGCAUGUGAACUGAGGAUGAAAGCGGGGGACCAGGCAGCAAUGUUUGGCCUCGCGCCUUUGUAGCGGCCGAUGUCUGAUUAGGUAGUUGGUGGGGUAAAGGCCUACCAAGCCGACGAUCUGUAGCUGGUCUGAGAGGACCGCCCGCCACACUGGGACUGAGACACGGCCCAGACUCCUAGAGGGGGCAGCGGUGGGGAAUUUUGGACAAUGGGGGCAAGCCUAAUCCAGCAAUGCCGCGUGCGGGAAGAAGGCCUUCGGGUUGUAGACCGCUUUUGUACGGAACGAAAAGGCUCUGGCUAAUCCCUGGGGAUGAUGACGGUACCGGAAGAAUAAGCACCGGCUAACUCCGUG
rnacentral:rRNA from 1 species